rnacentral:rRNA from 1 species
ACGGAGCAACGCCGCGUGAGUGAUGAAGGUUUUCGGAUCGUAAAGCUCUGUUGUUAGGGAAGAACAAGUGCAAGAGUAACUGCUUGCACCUUGACGGUACCUAACCAGAAAGCCACGGCUAACUACGUGCCAGCAGCCGCGGUAAUACGUAGGUGGCAAGCGUUGUCCGGAAUUAUUGGGCGUAAAGGGCUCGCAGGCGGUUUCUUAAGUCUGAUGUGAAAGCCCCCGGCUCAACCGGGGAGGGUCAUUGGAAACUGGGAAACUUGAGUGCAGAAGAGGAGAGUGGAAUUCCACGUGUAGCGGUGAAAUGCGUAGAGAUGUGGAGGAACACCAGUGGCGAAGGCGACUCUCUGGUCUGUAACUGACGCUGAGGAGCGAAAGCGUGGGGAGCGAACAGGAAUAGAUACCCUGG